UCCGAAGUUUCCCUCAGGAUAGCUGGAACUUAUGAAAAAGUAGUUUUAUCAGGUAAAGCGAAUGAUUAGAGGCUUUGGGGAAGAAACUUCCUCGACCUAUUCUCAAACUUUAAAUAGGUAAGAUUUGAAGGAUACUUAGGUGAUCUUUCAAUAUUUUGAAUAUAAAGUUCUUAGUGGGCCAUUUUUGGUAAGCAGAACUGGCGAUGUGGGAUGAACCGAACGUUAAGUUAAAGUGCCAAAUAGUACGCUCAUGAGAUACCAUAAAAGGUGUUGGUUCAUUUUGACAGCAGGACGGUGGCCAUGGAAGUCGGAACCCGCUAAGGAGUGUGUAACAACUCACCUGCCGAAUGAACUAGCCCUGAAAAUGGAUGGCGCUUAAGCGUAUAACUUAUACUUAACCCUUACUUGAAUUAUAAUAGCGAGUAAGGAGUAGGAGGG
rnacentral:rRNA from 1 species